UCCAGCUUUGGCCUGGUGUUCCACGUAGAAAAGGAUGUAGGCCUUCGCCUUCACCACAGUCUCCUCGUCAGUCAGUGUUACAGUACUGUCAUUGAAGUGGAACCAGCGGCCUUCGUGAGUUGCGUAUGCUGUGUAAUGUCCAGAACCAACCCUGUAAAGGCAAAAGACCAAAGGAAAAAAGAACCUCAGAAAUCACAAAAAGACCUGUACAACUAUAUAAUGUUAGAUUUAAAUUUUAAUAAGAAUACAUCCUAGACUUUUGAUUUAAGAUGCUUGUUAAAUUAAUGUUUUUACCUUCCUCCAAACUGACCAGAAAUCGAGGGUUUGCUAGAACACAAAGCAGAUGGCCCUGGACUAAUGGAGAAAACAGAGAUGAGGAACUCGCAACCUAACAAGCACAGGUCAAAGCCUACGGAAACAUGGAAAACUAGGUACCAGGUUUUCCCAUCAGAAUCUUAGGAAAAAACUAAGCUUAACAAAGAAGGGCACCCUUCCCUGACACCGUGGUCAUCAGGGGCUCUACCCUAUCAGCAUGACCCACCCACUCACACACACAACCCUGGAGUCAGUCCUCCAAGUCAGACGGAAGGCCUGCAGCUAGAACAGACCUUUGUAGGUGCCAGGAAAACCCUAUUUAAAUAAUAAAGAUCCAUCUCAUCAUUUACUAUGAUUCCAAAUAAACCACCAAAACCAAAUUUUAAAAACAAGCCUUUUGCACGCCUACAAAAUCACAUUUUUGAGGGGAAAGAAAUACCGGGAAGAACAAGCAAGGCAAUCAACCCUGAGGAAUUGAAUGCAGAAAACCUAAGAGAACUUUACAUUUUUAAAUUAGUGCUAAUAGUUUCAAAAAGAUAGUGCAAUCAUAAAACAAGAAUAGGCUGUUACGAAAAAGUUGUCAGAAAAAUGUGACUGAUUUAAUAUAAAUAUUUUAUGGAGGAGCUUAUCUUUUAUUUGGAUACAGAUGAAACCCAAAUUGGUGAUUUGGAAAAGUAGGCCAUGGCAGUCUUUAGAAACACAGACAGAAAUCAUUAGAGUAUUUAAGACAUGUGGAAGGGAGAUCCAGGAAAUUCACUAUGCAUAUAAUAGGGGUACAGAGAACAAAUGAUUUCAGACCUACAGUAUAGAGAGUUUCAUGAGCUGAAGGCACCAAAUUAAAAGUGUCCCUACCAACUACCAAGCAGGAAUACACUCCAAGGAGAAAAAAGCCAGGUGCCUGUAAAGUAGUGAGAAUCAGACUUGUCAUUCAUAACACUAUGUGAGUGUAGACGUUACUUUAUCACAGCUCUGCGGGAAAAGGAUUUUCAACAUGGAUAGUCGUCUGCCCACAUAUAGUAGUCUUAAGUUUGAAGGUAAAAUAGCCACUCUCAAACCAAAAACCAGAAGGUUAGACCCCUCAUACAAACUUUCAGGGGAAAAAAUUAAUGUUUUUUAACAAGACUUAAAAUGAGUCUUUAAAGUAGAUGAUAUGGAGUAAGUUAUUCCAAGUAAUUUCCCCUUUUGCCCCAUUUAAAUUUCAGUUGGUAAACGAAUAAGCAACUUUGGAGUUUGUGGACAAAUAAAGACUGGGUCGUAAAUACUGGGUUCAAAUGAACCAUUCUUCAUUUCACUUUUAUUUACCUUCCCUUAAGCCUUCACAACAUCAUCUGAGGAGUACUCUUCCGCACCAAAACUGAAGGAAAUUUCACCUACUUUAUCUGAAUCCAUUUUUUAGGAAGAACUAGCAAGAGUGGUACAAAACUGCAGGUCAUUGGGCUGGCCACCAGGUAUUCCCACCCACCAGAAGCUGGCUGUUGUACUCACCCGGAACCAUGGUGCACCACCACAGCGGCGAGGUCAUACAGGCAGCUCUCCGGGCCACUGUUCUCAGGCUACAGAACAAGGAAGAAGGAGCAGUGGUCAAUGACAUCAGUAUCUCGAUGACCUCUACCCUCUCCAUGUGAUGACAAUCUUACUGAAGAGCCAUUUUUUCACCAUGCUAAAAAGGGAAGAGGAGCACAGCAGUAACGCUGAUGGGAAGAAGGUGCUGACAGAUGGACUCACUGGGGUCACGGCAACAAUCGACAGUACAGGUGGCAAACAUUGUGUAAAAUACUCCAAAUCCAAGACACACAUUUAUAAAAGUCUGUAACAGGUAACAUUACAUGUUAGAGUUGUAACAAAACAGUGAUUAAAUCUCAACUAACUCUUAUAUUUGAAUAAAUUUUAAUUACUUACAUUUACUUUUAAUAACUUGCUGUUUAGUGUUGAGUUUUCCAAAAGUUUUCUUUUCUUAUGCCUGUCAGCUGUGAAAGCUGAGCUAUUAAAACACAAACAGAUAGUGAAAAAGUUAUUAAUAUAUGCAUGCUACACCACAGGUGAAAGAAUAAACUCCAGCUGCCCUCAACACCUAGGGCAUGGAGACCUCCCUGACUGCUUCGUCAGGCCUACUGGGGCCCACACGUAUUUGAAGUUAACCGAGGAGCUCUACUUCCUUGGAAAUCCCCAUUGCUCCUCCAGCAGAGGUGGGCUGGACACUGCUCCUGGCAAAGCUGGCCGGGAAGAUGCAGCCCGUGGGACACUCCCCACCACCACUCUCACAGUCUGACUGACUGCGAAGCUUCACAGACCAGAAGGUUCAUUCCUCACAAGAAAAGGAAAACCCUGGUCUGAUACUACUGUUCUGAAAUUUAACAGUAAGUCUCCAUAUGCUAUUUCUUUCUUAAUUUCAAUAAAGAUGCCAUGUUUUGCUCAUUUGUCUUAAUAGAUGAUGAUAUGAUCUGAGUUUGAGGAAUGAUAAAUAAGUUACAGGAAUACAGGCACAUGUACAUUCAUUAGAUGCAGCUACGCUCCAAAGGACAUUCUAAAACACAUCCUUAUUAGUGAGGAAAUUCUGAAUUAAAAUCACUCAAAAUUUU
rnacentral:lncRNA from 10 species